ACGGGUGAGUAAUGCCUAGGAAUCUGCCUGGUAGUGGGGGAUAACGUCCGGAAACGGGCGCUAAUACCGCAUACGUCCUGAGGGAGAAAGUGGGGGAUCUUCGGACCUCACGCUAUCAGAUGAGCCUAGGUCGGAUUAGCUAGUUGGUGGGGUAAAGGCCUACCAAGGCGACGAUCCGUAACUGGUCUGAGAGGAUGAUCAGUCACACUGGAACUGAGACACGGUCCAGACUCCUACGGGAGGCAGCAGUGGGGAAUAUUGGACAAUGGGCGAAAGCCUGAUCCAGCCAUGCCGCGUGUGUGAAGAAGGUCUUCGGAUUGUAAAGCACUUUAAGUUGGGAGGAAGGGCAGUAAGUUAAUACCUUGCUGUUUUGACGUUACCAACAGAAUAAGCACCGGCUAACUUCGUGCCAGCAGCCGCGGUAAUACGAAGGGUGCAAGCGUUAAUCGGAAUUACUGGGCGUAAAGCGCGCGUAGGUGGUUCAGCAAGUUGGAUGUGAAAUCCCCGGGCUCAACCUGGGAACUGCAUCCCAAACUACUGAGCUA
rnacentral:rRNA from 1 species